rnacentral:rRNA from 1 species
UACGUAGGGGGCUAGCGUUGUCCGGAAUCAUUGGGCGUAAAGCGCGUGUAGGCGGCCCACUAAGUCCGCUCUGAAAGCCCGGGGCUCAACCCCGGGAGGCGGGUGGAUACUGGUGGGCUCGAGUCCGGAAGAGGUCAGUGGAAUUCCCGGUGUAGCGGUGAAAUGCGCAGAUAUCGGGAGGAACACCAAUGGCGAAGGCAGCUGACUGGGACGGUACUGACGCUGAGACGCGAAAGCGUGGGGAGCGAACAGG